GCUGGAUUUUACUUGUGCUUCUGCUCCUUUUCCAUCCCCAUGAGGAGAGGAUGCUGGUCCCAGAGAGGAUGAGAGAGCUGAGCCUCUGAGCCGCUCCAUUACCCAACCUGCAGCGGCAAAACCCAUCCAGGUGACGCCUCUAGAGACUGCCAGCUGCACCUGAGGUGAAAGUGUGCCCUCUACACCUGUCACAACUGCAGCGUGGAUAAGCCCGGGCUAGCGACUUUAAGACCAGAGUACCUGGGAUUAACUGAAGUAACCCUCGUGAAAUGGACAAGUGGCUUAAACAUCUCCCUGCAGAGAAGCGACAGAUGGAGGAUAAUUCCAGUAAUACAGCUUCUUCCGCUCAACAUAACGUCUGUGAGAUCAUCCACGUUGUGUGUAUCCGUGGCCCCGUUUCACAGAGGAAGAAACCCAGGCUCAGACAGACUAAGGGAAGUGGCGUCGGAGGGAAGCCCCAGCUCUCUGAGGACGUCCCCUUCUUUGCUUGAGCACCGUCCCCUGAUGGUCCAUGCUGAUCGCCAGUCCAGGCAUUCCUUCCUGUGCUGGGGCUUCCUCCCACGCACAGUCGGUUGGGGAUCAUGCCAUCAGCAAAGGCUCUGACCUGCUAAAUCUCAUCCAUCAGACUGGCCACACUCCUUCCAACUGAGCUGGUAAUGUGAUCAUGUGAUCACGCCGUGGCGACUCGGUUCCUGUGGCCCGUUCGGCAUCACUUCACAGGCGCUUUCUGUGGACUCGGGUCAAAUCCUCUGUGUCAGCACCGUGUGUACCCUGUCGCACCCCACAGGUGACCCUGUAGAGGUUCCUGGCUGCAUCUGUGCCCACAGACGCGUGUCCACUUGCACACGUGCCUCUCUCUCUGGCAGAAAAUCUUUGAGGUGGAACCCAAUGGGCUGGGUUUAAAUCCUGACUCCACUACUUACAGGCUGUACCACUUUGCCCUAGUUACCCUCUCUGUGCCUCAGUUUCCCAUCUGUAAAAUGCGGAUGAAGACAGAACCCACUUCUUGGAGUGUAUUCAUUUCCGGGGCUGCCACAACAAAGUACCAUAGACUUAGUGGCUUAGAAAACUGAAAUCUAAUUGCUCACAGUUUUGGAGGCUGAAAUCAAGGCAUCCGCAAGGUUGCCUUGGGGUCGCUGGGGGGGAAUCUAUUCCAUGGCCCUCUCUGAGCUUCUGGUGGUU